AUUGAACGCUGGCGGCAGGCCUAACACAUGCAAGUCGAGCGAGCGGCGGACGGGUGAGUAAUGUCAGGGAAACUGCCUGAUGGAGGGGGAUAACUACUGGAAACGGUAGCUAAUACCGCAUACCAUCAGAUGUGCCCACAUGGGAUUAUCUAGUAGGUGGGGUAACGGUCAACCUAGGCGACGCGCCAUAGCUGGUCUGAGAGGAUGACCAUCCACACUGGAACUGAGACACGGUCCAGACUCCUACGGGAGGCAGCAGUGGGGAAGAUGUCACAAGGGGCGCAAGCCGGAUGCAGCCAUGCCACGUGGGUGAAGAAGGCCUUGGGGUUGUAAAGCACUUUCAGCGGGGAGGCGUUACCCGCAGAAGAAGGACCGGCGAGCUCCGUGCCAGCAGCCGCGGUAAUAC
rnacentral:rRNA from 1 species